GGGGAAAAGGAGGGGGAGUGGGAGGGAGGGCAGAUGGUAGAGGGUUGGAGUGGGUGGGGGAUCCGCUAGUGGGGUUGGGGGGUGGUUGUGGGGGUUGGGGGGGAGGGGAUGAUGUUGGGUGGCGUGAAUGUAGUGGUGGAAGGGGGGUCUCAUCGGCUAGGUUUCGCAGAGGUGGGCGCGGGGGUAGGUGGAGUUGGGUGAGGUGGGGGUUGGGCGGGGUGGGUGGUGGGAGGGCGGGGGGCGGCCGGGGGGGCGUGGUGGUAGAGUGGGGAAAGUGUGGGGGAGGGGGCGGAGGAGGGGGGACGCUAAUCCUUGGGUGCAGGUGUUCGGGCCGGGAACUCAAAGGAGACUGCCAGUGAUAAACUGGAGGAAGGUGGGGAUGACGUCAAGUCAUCAUGGCCCUUACGAGUAGGGCUACACACGUGCUACAAUGGCGCAUACAAAGAGAAGCGAACUCGCGAGAGCAAGCGGACCUCAUAAAGUGCGUCGUAGUCCGGAUUGGAGUCUCCAAGUGGACUCCAUGAAGUGGGAAUGGCUAGUAAUAGUAGAUCGGAUUGUUACGGUGGAUACGUUUGCGGGCUAGGUGCGCCCCAGGCUUCGCACCAUGGGAGUGGGUAGAAAAGAAGAUGAGAGUAGAUUAGCCUUGGGGAGGGGUGCUUCACGGAUUGUGAUUCAUGGAAGUGGUGGGGUAGCACCACGGUAAAGGGAGAAUUGUGCUAGUAUAUCCGAUCACAACUGGCGGGACAGGUGCGAGACUAUGCAUCUAGAGGGCUCAA
rnacentral:rRNA from 1 species